AGGAGGUGGAGCAAAGCAGCGCUCGGAGCUCAGUUUGAGCUUGGACUUGAACUCGGAGACUUUAGUGAGCAACAUGUUCACACUGUGAACCUCUGCUGUGAACCUGUGUUGUCUUUGUGCUGGUCCCCGACUUUUGGAUCUCUGCAUUUUCAGCGUGUUGAGGCAUCAAGGUUUUUCUUCUUUGUUGUUGUUGUUUGUUUUUUUAAAAAAUAAUCUGUCUCCUCUCAAAGAUGUGUGCGAGUACGAGAACGAUUUUUGCUCCUGUUAAGUUUCAGAGAUGAACACACGCCCUGUCAGUUUGAAUGGAUCUGCAUCUGCAAUUCCAGAGGUUAUGGCCAACAGCCACAGAAACAUUUAACUGAGAAUAUCAUUGUCAGAGGCACAGGAAGGCUGCUGUUUACUCUGGACUGCAGACGGAGGAGAAACAGCACUAUUUGGUGCAUCUUCUGAGAAGACAUGGAUCUGGAUUAUGAAAAAGAGAGAUGAGUGAGAAGAGAACAGGAGGCUGGGAGGGGAGGACUUACUCAUACAGGAAGGAACUGCAGGAAAUGUCCCAUCGGGAAAACAAGUAGCAACGUAAUUGUGAACCCUGAGCUCAUUUACUGUCUGGGUGGCCAUGAAAGCAAAGCCCUGAUUGUGUGUGUGUGUGUGUGUGUGUGUGUGUGUGUGUGUGUGUAUUAAAAAUAAACUCUCAUGGGUACUUUAUCACACAGUGCUAUUAACAUUGUUCUUUGGGGGAAUCUUGAGAUUUCAGGAUUUUUCCUGAAAGUUAACAAUCAUUGAACACUAGAGAAUUCUUUUACAUUGUAUAUUUUACAGAGCUGCUCCUGGACACUAACAUCACUUAUGGUUUUUGAUGAAAGAAGCUUAAAAUAUGUGUGUUCAGUCUGUUUUUUAAUAAUUAUAAUAAUUUCUAAUAUUUUGUUUUGUUUUAAUUAUAUUUCAUUUCUGGUGU